UCUGGGUGCGGUGGCGCAUGCCUGUAAUCCCAGAAGCUGGGGAGGCUGAGACAAGAGGAUCCCAAGUUCAAAGCCAGCCUCAGCACUAGCGAGGUGCUAAGCAACUUAGUGAGACCCUGUCUCUA
rnacentral:sRNA from 1 species